rnacentral:rRNA from 1 species
GAUGAACGCUGGCGGCGUGCCUAAUACAUGCAAGUCGAGCGAAUGGAUUGAGAGCUUGCUCUUAUGAAGUUAGCGGCGGACGGGUGAGUAACACGUGGGUAACCUGCCCAUAAGACUGGGAUAACUCCGGGAAACCGGGGCUAAUACCGGAUAACAUUUUGAACCGCAUGGUUCGAAAUUGAAAGGCGGCUUCGGCUGCCACUUAUGGAUGGACCCGCGUCGCAUUAGCUAGUUGGUGAGGUAACGGCUCACCAAGGCAACGAUGCGUAGCCGACCUGAGAGGGUGAUCGGCCACACUGGGACUGAGACACGGCCCAGACUCCUACGGGAGGCAGCAGUAGGGAAUCUUCCGCAAUGGACGAAAGUCUGACGGAGCAACGCCGCGUGAGUGAUGAAGGCUUUCGGGUCGUAAAGCUCUGUUGUUAGGGAAGAACAAGUGCUAGUUGAAUAAGCUGGCACCUUGACGGUACCUAACCAGAAAGCCACGGCUAACUACGUGCCAGCCGCCGCCGUAA